AUGGAGAAAACUUUAGAAACUAUUCCUUUGGAGAGGAAAAAGAGAGAAAAGGAAGAGUUCCAUAAACUCUUUAUUGGUGGCUUAAGCUUUGAAGCUUUGAAGAAGAAAGUUUGAGAAACUACUAUGAGCAAUGGGGAAAACUUAUGGACUGGAUGGCAAUUAGAGAUCCUGCAAGCAAAAGAUCAAGAGGAUUUGGUUUUGUAACCUUUCCAUCCAUGGCUGAGGUUGAUACUGCCAUGGCUGCAAGACCUCAUUCAACUGAUGGGAGAGUGGUUGAGCCCAAAUGUGCUCUAGCAAGAGAGGAGUCUGGAAAACCAGGGGCUCAUGUAACUGUGAAGAAGCUGUUUGUUGGUGGAAUUAAGGAAGAUACUGAGGAGCAUCACCUUAAAGGUGAGAAGUAUGGAAACUUUGAGGAGUACGGAAAAAUCGAUAUUAUUGAGAUAAUUAUUGAUAGGCAGUCAGGAAAGAAAAGAGGCUUUGGCUUUGUUACUUUUGAGGACCAUGAUCCUGUGGAUAAAAUUGUAUUGCAGAAAUACUAUAUCAUCAAUGUUCAUAAUGCAGAAGUAAGAAAGGCUUUGUCCAGACAAGAAAUGCAGGAAGUUCAAAGUUCUAGGAGUGGAAGAGGAGGCAACUUUGCUUUUGGAGAUUCUCAUGGCAGUGAUGGAAAUUUUGGACCAGGACCAGAAAAUAACUUUAGAGGAGGAUCUGAUGGAUAUGAAAGUGGAUGUGGAUUUGGGGAUGGCUAUAAUGGGUAUGGAGGAGGACCUGGAGGUGGCAAUUUCGGAGGUAGCCUUGGUUAUGGAGGAGGAAAAGAAGGAUAUGGUGGUGAAGGACCUGGAUAUGGCAACCAGGUGGGGGCUACAGAGGUGGUUAUGACAACUAUGGAGGAGGAAAUUAUGGAAGUGGAAAUUACAAUGAUUUUGGAAAUUAUAACCAGCAACCUUCUAACUAUGGUCCAAUGAAGAGUGAGAACUUUGGUGGUAGCAGGAACAUGGGGGGACCAUAUGGUGGAGAAAACUAUGGUCCUGGAGGCAGUGGAAGAAGUGGGGGUUACCGUGGGAGAAGCCAAUAUCGAGCUUCUUCCAAUUUGCCAUGGGCUUCACUGUACAAAUAGGAGAAGAUGAGAGACCAGAGGUAACAGAACAGCUUCAGGUUAUCGAAAUAACAAUGUUAAGGAAACUCUUAUCUCAGUCAUGCAUAAAUAUGCAGUGAUAUGAGAGAA